GUGGGGAAUCUUCCGCAAUGGACGAAAGUCUGACGGAGCAACGCCGCGUGAGUGAUGAAGGUCUUCGGAUUGUAAAGCUCUGUUAAUCGGGACGAAAGAGCCUAGUGUGAAUAAUGCUAGGAAGUGACGGUACCGGAAUAGAAAGCCACGGCUAACUACGUGCCAGCAGCCGCGGUAAUACGUAGGUGGCAAGCGUUGUCCGGAAUUAUUGGGCGUAAAGCGCGCGCAGGCGGAUCUGCCAGUCUGUCUUAAAAGUUCGGGGCUUAACCCCGUGAUGGGAUGGAAACUACAGAUCUAGAGUAUCGGAGAGGAAAGUGGAAUUCCUAGUGUAGCGGUGAAAUGCGUAGAUAUUAGGAAGAACACCAGUGGCGAAGGCGACUUUCUGGACGAAAACUGACGCUGAGGCGCGAAAGCCAGGGGAGCGAACGGGAUUAGAAACCCGUGUAGUCC
rnacentral:rRNA from 1 species